GGGCCCGCACAAGCGGUGGAGCAUGUGGUUUAAUUCGAUGAUACGCGAGGAACCUUACCAGGGUUUAAAUGCAGAACGACAGGGGUGGAAACACCCCCUUCUUCGGACGGACUGCAAGGUGCUGCAUGGUUGUCGUCAGCUCGUGCUGUGAAGUGUCGGGUUAAGUCCCAUAACGAGCGCAACCCCCAUUUCUAGUUGCCAGCGGUUCGGCCGGGGACUCUAGAGAAACUGCCAGCGUAAGCUGUGAGGAAGGUGGGGAUGACGUCAAAUCAUCACGGCCCUUACAUCCUGGGCCACACACGUGCUACAAUGGUAGGGACAACAGGUUGCCAACCCGCGAGGGUGAGCCAAUCCCAAAACCCUAUCUCAGUUCGGAUCGGGGUCUGCAACUCGGCCCCGUGAAGCUGGAAUCGCUAGUAAUCG
rnacentral:rRNA from 1 species